rnacentral:rRNA from 1 species
CCCUUAGAUGUCCUGGGCCGCACGCGCGCUACACUGAUGCAUUCAACGAGUUUUUCCUUGGCCGAGAGGCCUGGGCAAUCUUUUGAACGUGCAUCGUGAUAGGGAUAGAUUAUUGCAAUUAUUAAUCUUGAACGAGGAAUUCCUAGUAAAUGCAGAUCAUCAAUCUGCAUUGAUUACGUCCCUGCCCUUUGUACACACCGCCCGUCGCACCUACCGAUUGAAUGGUCCGGUGAAGCCUCGGGAUUGUGGCGAGUUCCCUUUAUUGGGAGUUUGUCGCGAGAACUUGUCUAAACCUUAUCAUUUAGAGGAAGGUGAAGUCGUAACA